AUCCAGGUGACUGACGAGUCCCAAAUAGAACGAAACGCAUGUUGUCCUGGAU
rnacentral:hammerhead_ribozyme from 1 species